UUUUUACCCUUUCAAGAUAAUAUUUAUUCAGCACAGAGUUUAGAGAAUGAUAACAGUCCUGUAAAUACGACGCUUCAUCACCACCCAUCACCACAGACAGAGGAAAGGAACUAUUUUACUUUCUCAUAUUUAUUCUUAGAUUUCUUCCGAGAGCAUAAAAGCAUUCUAUUACGUGACCCACGGUAGUGAUGUAACCAGUCUCCAGCCAGAAAUAAACAUACUUCCUUCACCUCCUCCAGCAUGGUUUGUGCCGACAGCCAAAAGUGAAUGGCAGGGAUUGAAUAACGGAUGAAUGUUUUCCUUUCCUCUUUGUCUUCAGAGAAACAAACAGUUCACUGAGUGGAGAAAGCAAAAAUGAAAGCCUAGGAUCCUUUUCCUGCCGUUAGGACUGCUGAUGGGUGGAUGGGAGCUGUCUACUCUGCUGACUCUGGAUGCACACCGAUGCCCAACACCCCUCGCUCUGCAGCAGGGCGGUGGGUGCCGGGCAGGGAUGCUGCCAUGGAGGCUGCUUGCAGGACAUGGAUGCUGGAGCCCUGCGGGAACACUUCCCGGUGCCCACUGCUCCAGAGAGCCCCCCGGUCCAGUCUGAGGGCUGCACAGCCGGGGCCCCAUGGUGGGAAGUGGGUCCUUGCUAACAGGGAGGAAAAAGCCUCAAAGCAUUGGAAGGAAAACGAUGCAGCGGCCUCAGAUGUCCAGAGGAGUGCUGUGCGGAUCCCUCCUGGGUCCUCAUCUGCAGCUCAUCUGCAAGGUGUGAAUUCCUCACCUGUGUUGGGGUGAGCUGAGGUGUGAGUACCUACCCACUGGAAAUGAGGGGGUUUGAAAUGGUGUUAGGCUUUCUGCUGCAGUCAGCAGAGAGGGACCAGAUAUCUUGCCUAGGCUGCUGCAAUGCGAAGAACUGAGAUAACUAAGAUCAGAUUUCAAGUACGUCCUACAAGCAAAGCAGAGCAACCCUUGCUGUGCCCCGUGUUCUACCAGCUCGCUUAGUGCACUUUGCAUGCAGCGAACCUGUCUUGAGAAUGUUGAUAGAGAUUAAGCACCACCUCUUCCAGAGCAAUCUGGUUGGUUUAUAUAUCUGUAGUAGCACAAUCCUUCUGAGGCUGCCCAUUUCCCUGCUUCUGCAUCUCCGAAAUAACAGGCUGUGACAUUUCCUCUUUGAGCACGCUCAACCAGAGGCCGUCUGCUGUCUUUGGAAGGGAGUGGUGAUGCCUACAGCUCCAUCAGCUCACUUACCAGAAAUGCAGCAUCUCAAAGUGAGCGGUGCCCCUCUGCUGUUGGCUCUGUGUUGGGAAACUGAAUUUAAAACCCACAGGGCCUGCAGGUUUGUGAAUUCUCUGCCAACUGAACAAACUGUCCAUGGGUGUUUGAUCUGCGUCCUCCAUCCGCUUCUCUGCACACUGCUAAAUCAAAGCAAAGGAAGAACAUGCUGCUCUGCAUCGUGGUGUUGAGCAGUGCUGUCUUUCAGAUGAGGGGCAGUUGGGCACAUCGCCUGGAAACCUGCGGCUGUGGUGCAGAUGUCAUUUGAUGUGUUCAUAGCAUCACUGCUGUCACUGUGUGUCUGUGGUGUGGCUGCUGGUAAGUCAGUAGCAGAGGAUGCCGUGGGCAAUGCCUACUCAUGGAGGGACAGAAAACAGUGUCGCUGCUGCUGGCAGCUCUGCUCUUUGUGCCUCUCCUACCCUGGGAUGUUCGCUGCAGGGCUGUGCUGCUGCACCCAAUGGGCACUGCAAAGCUGCUCAGCUCUCCUCCCUGCUGGCAAUGCUGUGCCACUGGUUUUAAUUACUAUCUCACCUGGGACUCUGAAAUCCCUCACUACCUCGCUGCCUGUUUGAAGAAAACAAACCCUUUUUUGUUGGUGAAAAUAAUUAUUUUACCUUGAGAAGGCAAUUAAAAGCCUGAGCUCACCAGAUGUAUUUCUAAAGGACUCUUUGCAAAUCUUUGGGAGAGAAGAGAAAUAAUUCUCCUAAAUCAGGAGGCAGAUCAAUAACACACGUUGCUCUGCAGAAGGCCGUGUUUAUUUUGCCUGCCAGCAGUGAAACUCAAUAGACCCCCAGCAGUCGAAGAAGAAAUGAGACCUCUGUGGUUUUGCAUUGCCUUCAAAGCAAGACAUAAAAAGACAAAUCUCCUGGUGGGAAGUCAGCAAUCCCUGCAGAACUGCCUCCAGACUGCGCGCUUCGCUCUGAUGUUGAGAUGGGUACGGCACUCCAAGCUUAAAGGCUGUGCAGAUAUAUCUGGGAACUUUGGCAAUGGAAGCAGUGAAACCCUCACAUCCCCGGAGCUCUUCACCUGCUGUGUCAGAUGGCACUGACACUGUCAGUGCUCCGGAGUUUCUGCAUGUUGGUUUUGCUCUUCACCUUCCUCCCCACUGGGCUCAGCAGGAAAAUGGCCUCAGGGCAAAAAGCCAAGAGUCAAAGGAGAGAAAUUCAAAAGAGAAACGAAGGAAACUGGAAUCAGAGGAAAAAAAUCCAGAGGAAAAAGUGCAUCCCCAGCAGCCUGGCCGUGCUAAUUGCUGUUGGAGCUCCCUGGCAGGUGGAGGAAAAGCAAAUGUUUUGGCCAGCAUGGGCUGGGUGCCGAGGAGCCUGCUGGGUGCUGCUGGGACUGAGCAGCCGUGUUCAGCCCGGCCUGCUUUUAGCAUCACUACAUUUCCAACAUGCUCUCCUAAUCCGGGAUCAAAGCAUGCAGUCAGCAGAAGGCAUUUGGAGGGAGAACAGUGCUGUUUUCCAUCCGUUCCCCUCUGCCAAGAAAGCUGUUCUUGCUGAGGAGCUCCCAGCACGGGUUAUGGGAUCACACCGGCUUCUGGGAGUUGAUCUCUGCCCUCCUGCAAGGAGCAGAACACAGGGAGAGCCCCGUGAGCAUCCCCUGUGCUGCACAGAACGGCAGCGUCAGGCACAGAACCGCAGAGCAGAGCAGGCACUGCUCACAGCGCUGUGCAAACACUGAGCGACAACAUUUUGGAAGAGGAGCCUCCCCGCGAGAUGGGAGGCAGUGCAGAAUUAGGGGUUUUCAAUCACAGCGGCUCCACGAGAAAAGAAAUGCAGCUGCUGCUCUGAAAUCGGUCUGAAUCCUGCAGACAGCCACUGCCGUGCGGGACAAAGUGCUGCCAGGUGGGAGAAAUCCCCGUCAGCAUUCGCUGCAGGGAAGGUGGAUGGAGUAAUGAGAGCGAGCAGAGGCGUGGGAUGGAUGUUUCACUCCAGAGCUCCAAUCCAUUUAUAUAAUCAUAGUUGUUAUCGCAGUAAAUGUAAAUAACUGAUUGAGUUCAAAUGUAGUGUUUGACAACGCUGAUUCUUUGUGAGUACACACUGAAUUCUUGGAGAAUUACUUUAUUUCAUCAGACAGACCCGCAAUGUGUUCAACAGCCCUUUAGGCAUUUAGGUUGGGCCGUACUCUGUGAUUUUUCUUGCUCUCCAAAGCAUAAAGCCUCUUACAAGUUCAUGUUUUAAUCAAUUGCUUGAAUCAAAGUAUGUGGCAGUUUGGCAGCUUGCCCUUUGCUGCAUUGCUAUAGCUGCAAUAAUAGCAAUAAUGAUAUCAUGAAAAUACAAAAAGGCUGCUUUGCACCUUGUCAGCCCACGGCAAUGAAUAACCAGGAUGACCUUAAUUUGUUUUCUAUCAGAUGUGUUGGCCCACAACCUUCAGUAGCAUCCAAGAUAGGCAUCGGAGCUGCAGCCCACCUCCCCACGCUAAGCAGCAGCCUCCCUAAUUAGCCUGUGUGCAUCACAGCAGCUGCUGCUCUGGUCAGGGUCACGCGAGGGCUUCACCCCGUGCAGUUUCUGCUCUGUGCAGGAUGGAUGCUGCGCCCUGCAGCCAGGACAGAGCAGGACAGACCCCGCUGUGGUGGUCCCAGGGCUCUUUGCAGGGGGCUGUGGUGGCCAAACUGAAGUGAGAUCGGCACUGUGGGGACGGAGGGGGGUUUCAAAGGCCUGGAGACAGCUGCAUUCAGAAAUAGAUCAGAGCAGCACUUCCAUCCAAAAGGGAAAAAUAGUAAAGAGUGGCUUCAAAAUAGCGCUGUCCGUGACAUCCCACUUGUGCACGCUUUUAAUGAGGCUGGUGCUGGUCUUAACAGGAGGAUGGCCUCAAUUCCAUUAUAGCUUUGUGCUAUUGAUACAAUGCUUCUCAUAAUGAGGGCGUUAUUAUCUUUGUUGGGAAAUGCAGAAUGCAGCAGAUGCACGGUGUUAAAUAAUGACAAAGAGACUCAGCAGGAGCCAGGAGCAUGGAUGGUGCCCUGCUGGGGACGAGGGGGCCCUCGGAUGGACACUGCGAGGAUGUGCUCUGUGCUCGUCCCUGCAGAGCAGGGCAUGGAGAUGUCUGAGCUGCUGGGUGCUUCGAUUCCUCUGCUGGGAGAGGGCUCCUGGGCUCCUGCUUUGGUCGGUGCCACGGGGCUCUCUUCCCUCAGUCUGCCCUCGGGGCCAAUCGCUCACAUCCAUGCCUUCAGUCACUUCUGUAGGUUUCAGCAGUGUGCACCUUUGGCAAGGUCUGGCCUGAGCCCAGCUGAGCCUCUGUACCACCACUGCCACAGCUGCCUCCCCCCGCCCUACUGUGAGUCACUUCCAAAGACACUUUUAGUUCAUUAAUGCUGAGAUGCAUUAAAAUGAACCUCAGUAAAAUGGCAAUGCUGAUAAAAGCAGCCCCCAUCCUCCACCCACUCCAUGCCCCAGUUGCUCAGGUUCGUUUCUGUCUUUGAAUCAGACAGAGGGAAGCUCCAAUUUUCUGCAAAAUCACGUCUGGGUCCCAAAGGGAGCCUGGAGCAGACACACAGUUGUUGUGCUCCUGCAGGGACACUGAGGGCUGCAACUGGAAGCAACAGAUUGCUCUGGGGGCAGUGGCUUUGGGGGUACAUUGGCAUGUAGUGUGCAGUCCUACACAGCCCCAAGGAGUGUAUUUGUGCUGGUGAUGGCCCAACUUCGGGAUGCAUUGUAUGGAACAAGACCAAUCAGUAACUCAAUGACAUAAGGUUUUUAGCACCAAUGAGCUGGAGAUGGUGAUCAUGGGAUGUUAUUCCAAGAGGAAAAGUCAAAUGGAAAUGGAGGAUAAGUAUGCAAGAACUAAAGCAAAGCAACUUGUUGGGGAGACCAAAGCCACCACUGGGAUAAAUCCUUAUAGAACAGAGCUGAAGAGCCAGAUGAUGACGUGCUCUUUCCGAGUGAAUUUUCUCAGGGGCAACGAGGCACAGCUGAUGAGCAGGGCAGCAUAAAUCAGCAAAGCCUCCAAUACAGCCCAGCUGCACUGAUGUGACCAGAAAGCUCCAUCAAGCUAUUAAAUCAUUUGCACAAGACAAGCAGUCAAGCCCUUCUUUACCACUAGCAACCAACAUUCUGGUAAAACUCAUCUUUAUUUUGCUGUUGUCCUCAGCAUCACAUCGGUGGCCACUUAACAAUAAGUGCCUACAGGCCCUGAAAGCAAGAAGGCAAAAUCAGCAGGAGCACAGCUGGCAGGAGCUGAGCAUUUCUGUGGGGCCUCAGACAUAGGGAGUGUGGGCUGUGGGGCUCUGCCUGCAGACUGUGAUAAUGGGAACAGGGACUGUGGGAGUUCCUGCUGACUUUCACCUGCAUCAUCAGCUCUGUGUAAAUCUGUUAGUUGUGGUGGUGGUGAUCUGAGAGUGUAGGCAAAUUAAGGUUUGUGGCAAAGAACAAAACUUUUAGCAAAACGCACAGCUAUUUUUUUUAUUAGAGCAUCCAAUACAGGUAGGACAUGGACAAGCUUUAGGGCAAAGAGGCCCCACAGGACUUCCCUGGGUGUGAAACAGAAACAAAAAGCUUCAAGGAAGAUUCAGGCUGGAAAAACAUUCAGCUUCAGUUUAACAUAAUUAUGACAACAAAUUAGAGAGUUAGGAGGCAAAUCUGCCAGUAAGCACCUGUGAAAUCAGCCUUCAUAACCCUUGUGUAUCAGUUCAAAUCUGGGAUAUUGGAAUCCUGUUACAGCCAUCACCUGAUUUCCCAGUGUUUAAAAUGCAUCUACUGUUUUGCAAGGGACACACAAGUAGGAACUGUCACCUGGCAGAUGUGGGUUGCCCAUGCUGUGAUCUGCCUGUGGGGCUUUGCACAGUCUGUUGUUUGUAUGGGGCAGCGCCCAGCCCGGCUACUUCUGUUCCAAGAACAGCAUCUCUGUGUAUGUCCCUCUUCUGAAGCAAGC
rnacentral:lncRNA from 1 species